rnacentral:rRNA from 1 species
UACGUAGGGAGCAAGCGUUGUCCGGAAUCAUUGGGCGUAAAGCGCGCGUAGGUGGCCUCAUAAGUCCGCUGUGAAAGUCAAAGGCUCAACCUUUGAAAGCCGGUGGAUACUGUGAGGCUAGAGUACGGAAGAGGCGAGUGGAAUUCCUGGUGUAGCGGUGGAAUGCGCAGAUAUCGGGAGGAACACCGGUGGCGAAGGCGGUUCUCUGGGCCUUACCUGACGCUGAGGAGCGAAAGCCAGGGGAGCGAACGGG